CUAUCUGUAGGACUUGGGGAAGUUACUUCACCUCAUGGAGCCUCAUCCGCUCUCCAGAAAACAGGAGAAUAUUGCACUAACUUCAGUGGUUGGGAUUAAGAGAAACAUCUUAGGCUCUGAUGAAUACGACAGCCUCAGCGAAGAGGAAAGAGGCAACGGCCCACCACAGAUGUGGAGCAAAUACCCUUUGGAUGUGCAGAAGGAGUUUGGCUAUGACAGCCCCCAUGACCUGGAUUCAGACUGAUGAUCCUGUGGUAUCUAUGAAGUUCAGUCAUGUGCCCUGAGGGCUCUGACUGCAGCCUCAGCCAUCCUGGUAACAUCCCUGGGUUCUCUAGCUUAACACGAAAGGAAAAAGCAUGUCCAGCAGCACCAUCCUACCAGUGAAAACGUGUGCUAAAGGACUGUGUCUUUUUCAGUAACAGUAGGGCCCCUUUGCCUCAAUCAAAAGUGACUCUAUAGUCUGGGGGAAAAAAAUGCCAUAAAAGUGAAGCUUCCUGGCCUGGGGAUUUUCCCAUUCUCCUGUGGUAAAGCCAGUAAGUGGAAGAGAAACUUCUGUUUCCUUAGCACUAAGCUUUAGCUUUCCCAUACCACCAGGCCACUGCCUCCACUAAAAGCCUGUUUCUUUUGAUAGACGGAAUCUAGAAGGGCUACAUUGGGUCCCUUAUAGCAACACCGACGGGAUAGUGGUGGCUAUUAGAGAGGGAAGUAGAAUCUGCCUGAGCUCUGAGAGGUUUUAAGUUAAUAGCUGUCUCCACCGCCCUGCUUCCUGACUCUGAUAAUGGUUGUAAAGACUGCUGUCUUCCUUUGUUCCAGGGAGAACAGGACAUAUGAAUGUGAUACUCUGUGUUUAGUAAAAAUUAAAGGGAGCAAGAAAAUUC